AAGAUAUUAGUAAAAUAAUUACAUAACUUUGUCAAAGUUAAAUUACAGGCUAACCCCCGUAUAUCUU
rnacentral:tRNA from 1 species